rnacentral:RNase_P_RNA from 1 species
UGAGGGGGCCGGGUGGCCGCGGCCGACGCCUUCGGGCAGUCGGUCGAGGAAAGUCGGGACUCCAUCGGGCACGGUGCUGGCGCGAGCCAGGUCGGGGCGACCUGACGGACGUGCAACAGAGAGAGACCGCCGAUGGGUGGCCGUGGCGACACGGCGAUCACAGGUAAGGGUGAAACGGUGCGGUAAGAGCGCACCAGCGGCGUCGGUGACGGCGUCGGCUCGGUAAACCCCACCGGGAGCAAGGCCAAGCAGCGGGGACGGGCGGCCCGUCCGUGCGGAGCAAUCCGUACACCCCGCGGGUAGGCCGCACAGAUGGAUGGCCACCGGGCAACUGCCUACAGAAUCCCGCUUACAGGCCCCCUCACCAC